UACGUAGGUGGCAAGCGUUGUCCGGAUUUAUUGGGUUUAAAGGGUGCGUAGGCGGCUUAAUAAGUCAGUGGUGAAAGCCGAUCGCUUAACGAUCGAACUGCCAUUGAUACUGCUAGGCUUGAGUAUAGUUGAGGUAGGCGGAAUUGACAGUGUAGCGGUGAAAUGCAUAGAUAUUGUCAAGAACACCAAUUGCGAAGGCAGCUUACUAAAGUAUAACUGACGCUGAGGCACGAAAGUGCGGGGGAUCAAAACAGG
rnacentral:rRNA from 1 species